rnacentral:tRNA from 1 species
GGGGGCAUAGCUCAGGGCUAGAGCAUUUGAUUGCAGGUCAAGAGGUCCCUGAUUCAAAUCCAGAUGCCCUCU